rnacentral:rRNA from 1 species
UGGGGAAUUUUGGACAAUGGGCGAAAGCCUGAUCCAGCAAUGCCGCGUGUGUGAAGAAGGCCUUCGGGUUGUAAAGCACUUUUGUCCGGAAAGAAAUCCUUGGCUCUAAUACAGUCGGGGGAUGACGGUACCGGAAGAAUAAGCACCGGCUAACUACGUGCCAGCAGCCGCGGUAAUACGUAGGGUGCAAGCGUUAAUCGGAAUUACUGGGCGUAAAGCGUGCGCAGGCGGUUUGCUAAGACCGAUGUGAAAUCCCCGGGCUCAACCUGGGAACUGCAUUGGGUGACUGGCAGGCUAGAGUAUGGCAGAGGGGGGUAGAAUUCCACGUGUAGCAGUGAAAUGCGUAGAGAUGUGGAGGAAUACCGAUGGCGAAGGCAGCCCCCCUGGGCCAAUACUGACGCUCAUGCACGAAAGCGCUGGGGAGCAAACAGGAUUAGAUACCCUGGUAGUCCACGCCCUAAACGAUGUCAACUAGUUGUUGGGGAUUCAUUUCCUUAGUAACGUAGCUAACGCGUGAAGUUGACCGCCUGGGGAGUACGGUCGCAAGAUUAAAACUCAAAGGAAUUGACGGGGUCAUAGCUGUUUCCU